GUAAAAGUUACACCUGUGUGUUCAGUAACCCUAAGAGUGAGGAGCACAGUGACCCUCUCAUUGAGAUGGACUUAUUUCCAGGUCCUUCAGCUGGCUACAUCGUUGCUGGUGUCUUUGGAGGGGUGGUGGUCAUAGUGCUGGUGGCUGUGGCUGUUUACUGUUGGUGCAAAACAAGAGGGUACAUGGGCUACACUCCACCUACACCUGUCACCCAUCCAUUAUCUUUGUCUGCCCAAGGACCAUAGUCUCAGCCCAAGUGAACUCCACAUCAGCUCUAAGAUCGUCACAGUGUGCCUUCAACACAGGACGAGAAGGUGGACGAGGAGAAGAAGCUGAGGGAGGACGAGGGAAAGACUGGAAAUUGAGCUGAAACUUAAAUUUAUCCAUCUGCUUUCAUAGACCAGGAACUGUAGGAUGAAAAAUAUGGGAAAAUUGUGAACUGUUCAUGUUUGGCUGCAUGUGAGUUCAGUACAAAUUGAUGCUUGGAUGACAUCAACAGUCCAAAUCCAGUGGAACAGGAGUCCAACUUUUGACCUUCGCUGUCACACAGCUUAACUCCUGUGCCCUCCCCUGUCCUUGCCAAACGCACUGCCUUCUUAUAGCAAUCAGCACCUUGUAAAAGUUAGAACAAUUCUUUAUAAUUUUUUUUACA